UACGAAGGGUGCAAGUGUUAAUCGGAAUUACUGGGCGUAAAGGGUGCGUAGGCGGUUAUUUAAGUCUGCCGUGAAAUCCCCGGGCUCAACCUGGGAAUUGCGAUGGAGACUGCAAGGCUAGAAUCUGGCAGAGGGGGGUAGAAUUCCACGUGUAGCAGUGAAAUGCGUAGAGAUGUGGAGGAACACCGAUGGCGAAGGCAGCCCCCUGGGUCAAGAUUGACGCUCAUGCACGAAAGCGUGGGGAGCAAACAGG
rnacentral:rRNA from 1 species